UAACGAAAUUAUUUUGCAUUUAAUAGAUAAGUAUUACAUAUCUAAAUCAAAACAUUUAUAAAUUUAGUAAAGGUGAUUAAAAAUUAUUAGGUUUGCUUAAGCCAAGUACUGUAAAGGAAUAUUAAUUUAUUUAAUUUUCUAUAAGAAGAGCUAAAUUCUCGUACCUUUUGCAUCAUGGUUUAGCUAGAUAAUAAAUCAAUAUUGAUAUCCUCGAAAUCUAAUGAGCUAUCUUUAAUCUGUCUUUUAGGACUCAAGAAGUAACUGUAGCAAAAGUUUUUUUAGAAUUUAAGAUAGAAAUGAAAUUUUAUUCGUAUUAGAUGAUAGCUAGUUCUUCAUUAAAAACAUAGAAGUGUUAUGAAUUAAGAAUUUAUUAAUUAUUCAAUUUAUUAAUUAAACUUUAAUUUAAUUAAAUUUUUGAGGAUAAGCUCGAAAAUAAAUUUCAAUAAGUAAUUUAGAAUUUUAAUUGAUAUUUAAGCUUGAAAAUAGCUACAAUUUAGAGUUUGUUACAAUCUCAUUAAAUCAUUUAAAAUAUAAUAUAUCUAUUUAUUUUUUUAAUGAAGAAAGCUUAUAAAUAAUAGGUUAAGCUAAUUUUAUGCUAAAAUGAGUAUCUUACGAAAUAAUAUAAAAUUUUAGUAAAAAUAUAAGUUUGAAAAUAAAAAUUUUAUUUUCCAUUAAAAUCGAAAAAAGGAACUCGGCAAAAAGGUAUUCCGCCUGUUUAUCAAAAACAUCGCUCCUUGUAAACUUAAACUAAGGAGUCGGACCUGCCCAGUGAAAUUUUUAACGGCCGCGGUACUCUGACCGUGCAAAGGUAGCAUAAUCAUUUGCCUUAUAAUUUGAAGGCUAGUAUGAAUGGUUUGACGAGAAUACAACUGUCUCUUUUCGAUUUAUUAGAAAUUUAUAUUCAGGUGAAGAAGCCUGAAUGCAAUUAAAAGACAAGAAGACCCUAUCGAGCUUGAAACAAAUUAAUAGACUAAUCGGUAAUAAUACGUAAAAGUGUUUAUAUUAAAUACUUUGGUUGGGGCGACUGAGGAACAAAGAAAGCUUCCUUAUUUAUAGAAAAAUUUACUGAUAUUGAUCCAAAAACUUUGAUUAAUGGAAUUAGUUACCGUAGGGAUAACAGCAUUAUCUUUUUUAAGAGCUCUAAUCGAAAAAAAGGUUUGUGACCUCGAUGUUGGACCAGAAUAUCCUAAAGGUGCAGAAGCCUUUAAGGGUUGGUCUGUUCGACCAUUAAAAUUCUACGUGAUCUGAGUUCAGACCGGCGUGAGCCAGGUCAGUUUCUAUCUUUA
rnacentral:rRNA from 1 species